rnacentral:rRNA from 1 species
AGUGAACGCUGGCGGUAGGCCUAACACAUGCAAGUCGAACGGCAGCACAGUAAGAGCUUGCUCUUACGGGUGGCGAGUGGCGGACGGGUGAGGAAUACAUCGGAAUCUACUUUUUCGUGGGGGAUAACGUAGGGAAACUUACGCCAAUACCGCAUACGACCUACGGGUGAAAGCAGGGGAUCUUCGGACCUUGCGCGAUUGAAUGAGCCGAUGUCGGAUUAGCUAGUUGGCGGGGUAAAGGCCCACCAAGGCGACGAUCCGUAGCUGGUCUGAGAGGAUGGUCGGCGACACUGGAAGUGAGACACGGUCCAGAGGCCUGCGGGAGGGAGCAGUGGGGAAUAUUGGACAAUGGGGGGAAGCCUGAUCCAGCCAUACCGAGUGGGUGAAGAAGGCCUUCGGGUUGUAAAGCCCGUUUGUGGGGAGAGAAAAGCAGCAGGUUAAUACCACGCUGUUCUGACGGUACCCAAAGAAUAAGCACCGGCUAACUUCGUG